GACGAACGCUGGCGGCGUGCUUAACACAUGCAAGUCGAACGAUGAAGUUCCUUCGGGAAUGGAUUAGUGGCGAACGGGUGAGGAUCACGUGAGAAACCUGCCUUUCAUUUUGGGAUAACACCGGGAAACCGGUGCUAAUACCGAAUACUCCGUCUUGGCGGCAUCGCUAAGCCGGGAAAGAAUUUCGAUGAAAGAUGAGUCUCGCGGCCUAUCAGCUAGUUGGUGAGGUAAUGGCUCACCAAGGCGACGACGGGUAGCCGGCCUGAGAGGGCGACCGGCCACACUGGGACUGAGACACGGCCCAGACUCCUACGGGAGGCAGCAGUGGGGGAUAUUGGGCAAUGGGCGCAAGCCUGACCCAGCGACGCCGCGUGAGGGAUGAAGGCCUUCGGGUUGUAAACCUCUUUCAGCAGGGAAGAAGCGAAAGUGACGGUACCUGCAGAAAAAGCACCGGCUAACUACGUGCCAGCCGCCGCCGAAA
rnacentral:rRNA from 1 species